GAUGAACGCUGGCGGCGUGCCUAAUACAUGCAAGUCGAGCGAACAGACGAGGAGCUUGCUCCUCUGACGUUAGCGGCGGACGGGUGAGUAACACGUGGAUAACCUACCUAUAAGACUGGGAUAACUUCGGGAAACCGGAGCUAAUACCGGAUAAUAUAUUGAACCGCAUGGUUCAAUAGUGAAAGACGGUUUUGCUGUCACUUAUAGAUGGAUCCGCGCCGCAUUAGCUAGUUGGUAAGGUAACGGCUUACCAAGGCAACGAUGCGUAGCCGACCUGAGAGGGUGAUCGGCCACACGGGAACUAAGACACGGUCCAGAAUCCUAAGGAAGGCAGAAGUAGGGAAUCUUCCGCAAUGGGCGAAGACUUGACGGAGCAACGCCGCGUGAGUGAGGAAGGUCUUAGGAUCUUAAAACUCUGUUAUUAGGGAAAAACAAAUGUGUAAGUAACUAUGCACGUCUUGACGGUACCUAAUCAGAAGGCCAGGGCUAACAACGUG
rnacentral:rRNA from 1 species